rnacentral:rRNA from 1 species
GCAGCUUACCAUCAUCAAGCCUGAUCUCAUCAGAUUUCAGAAGUUAAGUAGUCCAGGGCCUGGUCAGCAUUGGAAUGGAAAACCUCCAGAGAAAACCAGGCUGCC